rnacentral:rRNA from 1 species
GAUGAACGCUGACAGAAUGCUUAACACAUGCAAGUCAACUGUGGCGGACGGGUAAGUAACGCGUAAAGAACUUGCCUCACAGUUAGGGACAACAUUUGGAAACGAAUGCUAAUACCUGAUACGGUGAGAGAGCGUUGCGUCCCAUUAGCUAGUUGGAGAGGUAACGGCGCACCAAGGCGAUGAUGGGUAGCCGGCCUGAGAGGGUGAUCGGCCCCAAGGGGACUGAGACACCGCCCUUACUCCACCGGGAGGCAGCAGUGGGGAAUAUUGGACAAUGGACCAAAGUCUGAUCCAGCAAUUCUGUGUGCACGAUGAUGUUUUCGGAAUGUAAAGUGCUUUCAGUUGGGAAGCGGUACCAACAGAAGAAGUGACGGCUAAAUACGUGCCAGCAGCCGCGGUAAUUC